GCCCUUCACUACGGAAUAGCCUCUGGAAACGGAGAGUAAUACCGUAUACGCCCUUUUGGGGAAAGAUUUAUCGGUGAAGGAUUAGCCCGCGUCUGAUUAGAUAGUUGGUGGGGUAACGGCCUACCAAGUCGACGAUCAGUAGCUGGUUUGAGAGGAUGAUCAGCAACACUGGGACUGAGACACGGCCCAGACUCCUACGGGAGGCAGCAGUGGGGAAUCUUAGACAAUGGGCGCAAGUGAUCUAGCCAUGCCGCGUGAGUGACGAAGGCCUUAGGGUCGUAAAGCUCUUUCGCCAGGGAUGAUAAUGACAGUACCUGGUAAAGAAACCCCGGCUAACUCCGUGCCAGCAGCCGCGGUAAUACGGAGGGGGUUAGCGUUGUUCGGAAUUACUGGGCGUAAAGCGCGCGUAGGGGAUUGGAAAGUUGGGGGUGAAAUCCCGGGGCUCAACCCCGAACUGCCUCCAAAACUAUCAGUCUAGAGUUCGAGAGAGGUGAGUGGAAUUCCAAGUGUAGAGGUGAAAUUCGUAGAUAUUUGGAGGAACACCAG
rnacentral:rRNA from 1 species